GAUGAACGCUGGCGGCGUGCCUAGUACAUGCAAGUCGAGCGAACGGACGAGAAGCUUGCUUCUCUGAUGUUAGCGGCGGACGGGUGUGUAACACGUGGAUAACCUCCCUAUAUGACUGGGAUAACUUCGGGAAACCGGAGCUAAUACCGUAGAAUCUUUUGCACCGCAUGGUUCAAAAGUGAAAUACGGUCUUGCUGUCACUUCUAGCUGGAUCCGCGCUGCAUUAGCUAGUUGGUAAGGUAACGGCUUACCAAGGCAACGAUGCAUAGACGACCUGAGAGAGUGAUCGGCCGCACGGGAGCUGAGACAGCGUCAUGACUACUACGGGAGGCAGCAGUAGGGAAUCGUCGGCAAUAGGCGGAAGCAUGACGGAGCGAGGCCGCGUGAGUGAUGAAGGUGUUGGGAGCGGAAAAAUCGGUUAUUAGGGAAGAACGUAUGUGUAAGGAAAUGUGCAGAUAUUGACGGUACCUAGUAAGAAAGCACCGGCUAACUACGUG
rnacentral:rRNA from 1 species